CUUUCACUUCAACAAUAAAUAAACACAAGGAGUUUUUUCUCUCUGAGUGGUCUCUGCUCAGCUCUGGCGACCAGCCGAGAACAUCAGCGAGCAAUUCUGCAACACAAAGAAACAGCACUGCUAUUGAACGAGCUGUAUGUGGACAGAAAUAAGGCGGCUGAGGUCCUAUUCUGCCGUCUCUGAAUGGGAGGAAAAGGUAUUGUUCAGCAGGAAAUUGUCAUGUGGAGAUAAUGUGCUGACAUAAUAAUGAUUCACUGUGUUUUUGUGUGUCAGAAACGUGCAGCAUAGCAGCCUCUGCAGCAGGAAAGAUCCUGUUUCUGCUCUCUUUAUUUUGUAGUUUUCUUCGAAGUCUCCACAAAGAAAAAAAUCUCUCUCCUAUGUAAAUGAAGAGAGAGCAGCAUGAUUAGAUUUCUUCAAGCUGCAGAGCAAUAAUUAUCACCAUCAGCUCCACAAGAUAGCAUUUAACAAUUAGUUUUGAGUUUCUGUGUAUUAUUAUCAACAUGUCAGAGAAAAUAUAGAGUUCACAGUCACUUCAGCAGCAAACAGGGCUGUUAUUGGAUUAAAAUGAAAUGCAAAGAAGCUUAAAGCUUCACCCAAAUUAUGGAGAAUUUCAGCUGAGUACAAAAAAGGACUGGAAGAGUGAAACACUCUGUCUAUCUAUGGUGGUUAAUUGAAAAUAUAAGCAGCUGUAUAAAUCAUGUAGGACUAAGCACUGUGAAUAUCAAGUCUCACAUUCAGAGCUGAAAUUAUCACUAAAUUCAUCAAUUACUGCACCCACAAAUAUAUGAUAUCUAUAUUUGUCAAGUAUAGAUGAAGUAAAAACUGAGAAGUGACUUAAUCAUGCUUGUAAAAUAUGAAUGUUUCUGGUUUUAUCAGUUAUACUUGACGUUAUCUAUUCCUGUCCUCAAUAAAAACAGUCUCACUGGCUUUUGUUUGGUAGCCCUGUAAGUGAACAAACAUACUUUUAUUAAAUGCCAGAAAUACUUAACUCAAUUUCAUCAAACACAAUUAUAUUCCAGGAAAAACAAAAACUUUUUUAUUUGACACAAAUAUAUUUCAUGAAAUUAAAAAAGUAAAUCAAUAAUUGAAUGCAAAAAAGUGCAAAACAAUUUUCAAAAAGCACAAAUAAUUCACGAAACAAGAAAUAGACAAAAGCAGGAUUCAUGAAAUGAAAUAAAAAUGUUUGAAAAUCAAAAACUAUUCAAUGAAACACAAAAAUAUUUUGUAAACACAAAAUGUAUUCGCAUCCGUCCACUAAUGUAGGUCAGAGUGAAGCCUCUGUGACAACUACUAAAUACAAUGAAACUAAGACCCAUUAUAAAUAUAUGGACAGUAAGCCAAAAUAAAGCCUCUGUGCAACUUACUAUUAACAGUAAAACUGAGACUCAUUGUGGAGAUAAAAUAAGCCAGAGUGACGCUUCUGUGUGACUUACUAUUCACAAGAAAACAGACUACAUUAUAAACAUAUGGACAGUAAGCCAAAAUAUAACUUCUGUGUAAUUUACUAUUUACAGUAAAACUGAGACUCAUUGUGGAGAUAAAGUAAGCCAGAGUGACGCUUCUGUGUGACUUACUACUCACAAGAAAACUGAAACGUAUUAUAAACACAUGGAUAGCUUGCAGAAUAAAGCCUCAGUGUAUCUUACUAUCAACAGUGAAACUGAGACUCACCACAAAUAGAUGAACAGUAGACCAAUGAGGCGCCUCUGUGUUGAUCUAAAUUUACAGUAAAACGAAGAUGAUUGUUGUUAGUAAACCAGAUUAAAGCCUCUAUGUAACUUACUAUCAACAGUGAAACUGAGACUCACCAUAGAUAGAUGAACAGUAAGCCGGAGAGCUAACCCUCUGUAUUGAUUUAAAUUUACAAUAAAACAUUGUAAUCAGUAAGCCAGAUUAAAAUCUCCCUCUAACCUAUCAACGGUGAAACUGAGACUCAUUGUUAAGAUACCAAUAAUGAAUGAGCCCCAGUGUUACCGUAUGAACAGUUAGCAGGAAUAUAACCUCUGUAUAGUCAAAUUUACAGUGAAACUGAGACUUAAACAGACGAAUAGGCGCUCCUGUUGGGGUUGUAAUGAGCCCAGUCUUUUUGCAGACAUGUCUAGAGGGAGUUUCUCCGUACUUUUAUGCUCUUAACCUCCAUCGUUCAGUGUUUAUUAGGAGUAACACUCAUAAACUCCAGUGUACCUGUGCUGCACCUGUACCUGUGCACACAGCAGUGAAUCUAUUGUGCUCUAUUCUUUCUGCUGUGUGUAUUAAAAGGCCUUUAACUCAGCGACUCUCUAAAUCCCUCUAACUUCAACCAAACACCUGUUUUUUAAUCCGUCUUCUGUUAACGCAGCUCUUUGGCAGCAGUGUCUCGUUUCUUCAAAGUUUGAGGAUUCAACAGUUAUGAAUUAUUAAUCAGCAUAAUUCAAUCAUCUCAGUCUGAUUGUUCUGAACUCCCCUCAGUGUUUGCCAAGCCUCUUCAUAUUAACCCAAACAGACAGUCUGUAAUCAGGACGCUUUAAAGAGUCUGACGGCCGCUUUCAUUUAUCAGAUGGAUAUUUCCCCAGGUGGAGGAUCAGCUCCACGGCCCGUUAUGAGCUCUGAUCCGGAGCAGCAGGGGAGGAAAGACUCCUAAAAAACAUCAGACAGAGAGCGGGUAAUACUGCGUCCUGCAGAGAAGAAUCAAACACACAGUACACAAACCUGCUGCUUUGAAAAUACACAGUAAAGAUUAAAUACCACAGAAAGGAAUACUCACUCUCUACACCUUACCUGCAGGUCUCUCUGGUCUAUUAACUAUGAAGCUUUAUAUACACACACACAACGUGACUUUGACUGUGUUCUUUUACUCUAAUACCAUUUUAUUUUUACAGUGAGAAGUAAGAACAGAAAGAUGAAAAUCAAACCCAUGUGUUGCUCCUAAACCUCAGCAGUAAUGAUGCAUUCACAGAUGUUUAAGCUACCCAUGAUAUCAACAUUUAUGAUCCCCUGUAACAUCAGGGAUGCUGGCUUUGAAAUGAGCAGAGGAGAUAAUGUCCAUGGUUUCCAAAAAGAAAGUUAAAUUGUGAUUCAUCAAAACCUGAGUGACUGUGUUCACAGACAAUGGUUUUUGGAAGUGAUUUUGAGCGAUUGCCAAUACAGAUUCCUGUCUUUUUUAAUGCGGUGUUGCCUGAGGGCCUGAAGAUUAGGACCAUCUUAUCUUUGUUUUGGUCUUGGUCCCUUUUGUACGGAGAUUUCUCCAGACUCUCUGAAUCUUUUAAUGAUGAAAUCCGCUCAUUCUUCUACAUUUUGUGUCUCUGAUUUUUUUUUACAAACAUGUUGCUGCCAUCAAGUUUAAAAUGAAAAUAUGAUUUUGCUCGUUUUCCAGUUAGAAACCUCUUAAAAAACUGUCAAAAUCACUUUUCACCAACAUUUCACUCAGAGUCCUGACUCUUUACAGGCUGAACUACUUCUCCUUUUUUACCACACAUAUCUGUUUCUCUCUUUAGUUCCUCCGUCAGCCACUAGAAGGCAUAAUGUUGUUUUCCUCUGAGCACAUAAACAGACUCCAUUCAGAACUCCAUCUGAGAUUUCUCUUUUUUUCCCUCUCUCUCUCCUCAUGUAUUCUUUAAACCAUCCUCCAACCUUUUUAUUAAUGAUACAGCAUUUUGGAUCAUUAAGUACAUCAGUUCUGCUUCCUUUUAAUUUGUCACUCUGCUAAUUGAUGUCCACAUAGCCAGGCAAUUAAUUCAACCUAAUUAGAGCUCCAUUUGCAGAAGCCUAAUUGACACAUAGAUCUGUCUGCUGAACGGCCAAUUAGGAAUGAGAUGCAUGAAAUAAAAUGAUGGUGAGAUAUUAAUGAUUCAAUCAAAUAUGUGAUUUCAUUAAUUCAGGAAUCUGAGAGCAGGUCUGAAACUACAAAAUCUGGAUUUUAAAGAAGGUUUUCAUUUGUAUUCACUUUUACACUCAGAAAGUUAACACAGACACACCAAACUCCAUUUAGAAAACAGAUAAUUAAAGAGAUAAUCAAACAAGUGGAUGAAAAUUGUCAUUUAUUUAGUCUUAUUGGUUUGUUUUAUCUUGAAGUCUGCAAAAUUUUCUGUGGACACAUGGCUGUCUUAAAAAGUUGAGGCAAUAAUAACAAUAAUAAUAAUAAUCUUUGUCGUUGUUUUUGGGUCACAGAUUCACCUGAUAAUCAAUAACCUCUGAUGUCAAACAUCCUUCACACCUGCUGAUCAACGACUGAUCAGCUCUCAGGAGAAUCAAGGCUGUAAUCCUGCUCUCACUCUUAAAUCUGUCCACAAAAUCACCUCAGAGGACCGGGAGAGACCCGAUCAGAGCCCCGACAGCUGCUCCAACAUCGGCGGACCCCCGCUGAGAGAGGGACCCCCACACUGAGCCGAGGGGCCCCGUCAUCUAAUCAACACGCUGUGAUUCUCUCUGCACAGCGGGAGGGAGGAGAAACCUGCAGCUUCUGAAGGAGGUGAUGCUCUGGAAACUCUCUGCAGCAUGAAAAGAAGAUGUGAUUUCUGUUGUAAAUGGGCAUAUAUUUACAUUCAUUCAUGCAGAGAGGCUCCGUCUGCAGCGAGUCAAUUUAUCAUGGCUGCAUAAUAGGUCAAAUCAAAUAGAAAAAAAUGAAUUUUGAUGUUGUAAAACUGAUAAAAACUCAAAGACAUUCAGUUUACGGUGACAUAAAAGCAGCUUAACUCAAAACUGGUCCUGUUUUACUCACUUUAAAAAACUGGAUUGUGGUGUUAAAUCACAGUAAAGCCUCCUUAAAAUGCAGCCCAGUGUGCAGGGAGUUUAGUUUAAAUCAGACGACCUUAAAAUAACCAGAGAACCAAAGUUAUAAAGGAGGAAAAAGGUGAGACAAGACACGCUGAUAAGGCAGUUUAUCAGAGUUUAUAAUAAACCAAAUGAAGUCUCCAGACAUCUCCAUCUUUGUUGCUAACUUUAAAAACACACAGACCGAUGUAGCAGCAGCAAUGAGGUUACUAAGCUGCUGUUUGACUGGGUUUGUACUUUAUCACCUGAUGUUGUUGUAUUUAUUCAGUGAUUUAAGAACUCCUCCUGUUAAUAACUUCACCCUGCUCCUUGUUUUCGGGACAUAAGCAUGAAAAUUGCUGAAAUAUGUGAAAAUAAACUCUGGAUUUGUUUCCAGCUCCUCUCCUCCAGAGCCAUGUUUCAGGCCUCUCUCGCUGGCCGGCCUCUUCCUUCCACAUUAUACAAGUUCUCUCUUUUUUCUGCUGCCAACUCUUUCCAUUUUCUCCUCGCCAGCUGGUCAGGGGUCUCCUGCUGCCGCUCGGGCCCUCAGCUCACUUCCUACUUUCUGCAGCACCUGUUCCUGUUUGGCAGAGUCGGCCGGGAUGCUGAAAGCUUGGAGACGAGCCAUCUGCUGCCCGGCUCUGCACCAUUUUACCCCCAAUCCCUGGAGUACCUGCAUGCAUCCUGACUUUUCUCUGUUUUAACAGCUCUGAAACACUCAGAGCUGCUCAGAAAUGGAAAAAAAAAGCUGAG
rnacentral:lncRNA from 1 species